rnacentral:rRNA from 1 species
GAUGAACGCUGGCGGCGUGCCUAAUACAUGCAAGUCGAGCGAACGGACGAGAAGCUUGCUUCUCUGAUGUUAGCGGCGGACGGGUGAGUAACACGUGGAUAACCUACCUAUAAGACUGGGAUAACUUCGGGAAACCGGAGCUAAUACCGGAUGAUAUUUUGAACCGCAUGGUUCAAAAGUGAAAGACGGUCUUGCUGUCACUUAUAGAUGGAUCCGCGCUGCAUUAGCUAGUUGGUAAGGUAACGGCUUACCAAGGCAACGAUGCAUAGCCGACCUGAGAGGGUGAUCGGCCACACUGGAACUGAGACACGGUCCAGACUCCUACGGGAGGCAGCAGUAGGGAAUCUUCCGCAAUGGGCGAAAGCCUGACGGAGCAACGCCGCGUGAGUGAUGAAGGUCUUCGGAUCGUAAAACUCUGUUAUUAGGGAAGAACAUAUGUGUAAGUAACUGUGCACAACUUGACGGUACCUAAUCAGAAAGCCACGGCUAACUACGUG